rnacentral:rRNA from 1 species
GACGGAGGAUGCAAGCGUUAUCCGGAAUGAUUGGGCGUAAAGCGUCCGCAGGUGGCAGUUCAAGUCUGCUGUCAAAGACCGGGGCUUAACUUCGGAAAGGCAGUGGAAACUGAACAGCUAGAGUAUGGUAGGGGCAGAGGGAAUUCCUGGUGUAGCGGUGAAAUGCGUAGAUAUCAGGAAGAACAUCGGUGGCGAAGGCGCUCUGCUGGACCAUAACUGACACUCAGGGACGAGAGCUAGGGGAGCGAACAGG